ACGUUGGAUUUUCUCUCUGUGUUGUGGAGAGCAGCUAGCUUGAAUGGAUCUCGCCCGUCAGAACUUUGUGGAAAUAUGUAACUGACAGAUGAGACUUUAACAUGGAGCAGUCGGCUACUCUCGACAUAGAGACGCUGAAGAUUACCCAGGAGCAGUUUAUCCUCGCAUCCCAGUCCCUGCACCUCCAGCGACCAGGGUGUGAUGCCGGCGUGUACCCAGUGGGUCUGUACGGCUGGAGGAAAAGAUGCAUUUAUUUCUUCCUGCUGCUGCUCCUGGUCACCAUGAUAGUUAACCUGGCCCUCACUGUCUGGAUCAUAAAGGUCAUGAAUUUCUCAUUGGACGGAAUGGGAAACCUGCAGUUGAAUCAGGAUGGGAUUCGCCUGGAGGGAAUCUCUGAGUUUCUCCUCCCUCUCUAUGUGAAUGAGAUCCAGUCCAGAAGGGACAGCUUGUUGGUCUUGCGGUCAGAAAAGAAUGUGACGCUGAACGUCAGGAACGACCAAGGCCAGCUGACCGGUCAGCUCACAGUGGGACCUGAGGCUGUGGAGGCCCAGUGUCAGAGGCUGGAGGUACGAAGUAAAGAUGGAGGCAAACUGCUGUUCACUGCAACUGAAGAGGAGGUCAUCAUGACGACUGAAAAGUUCAUCAUCACAGGCUCGGAAGGCGCUGUGUUUGGACACUCAGUAGAAACUCCCCUGAUCCAGUCGAGGGCUUCUGAAGACCUUAAGCUCGAGUCUCCAACGCGGACCCUGACCAUGGAGGCUCCCAGAGGGGUGGAAGUGAGCGCCGCCAAGGGGCCGCUGAAGGUCAGCGGUCGGAAGGACCUGCAGCUGGAGUCCACAGAGGGAGAGGGUUCGCUACAUAAACGUUGACACGAGGCUGGCUGACCUUGGCACUGCAGCUGAGAGCGAGGCAGGCAGCCACGUGUCAGCAGGUUCACCUCGCUGCACUCCACAUGCUCCGUCGCUGCCCUGCGGCACAGACCGGCUGCUUUGGUGCUGCAGUAGAGCGCAGAAGUCCAGCUCAGCGUGUGAUAAUGGUACGUUGCUAUAUAAGAAAGUUGUGCUGCAAUAGAAAUAUCUAGGUGUCAGUUUUCACAAGUCGAUGUACAUGUGGAGGAUUCCUGUAGUUAGAUUCUCUGUUGGGCCUCGACCCAGCGCUUAGCUUGUGCUGCCAUCUAUUGGUUCUGAACGCUCAAGAUCACAUUUGGAAAAUUCAAUCAAAGCUGGAUUACCACCUGGACAAAAAGGGAAGAUGACCAAGAGUCCUCUGACGACCUGGGUCUACUGUACGUCAGUUACAGCCAAUUCAGUUAAUUUCGUUCAUUUGUUCAGAAAUAUGCAUCACAACUCAAGCAGCAUUAAUCUAUCAUGUCAGUAUAAGUUGCCAUUAUGUCCUUUGUAUGUUCUUGAUUGUUAAAAGUCAAUAUCUUAGUUACUUUAUGUUUAACUUUUUAUGCAACUGUCUUGGCCAGGACUGAACUGUUCCAUUAUAAAAGAGAUAUUGAACCUCAGUGGGAAUAUUCCUGCUUAAAUAAAAUAUAAAUUGAAAUAAUGAUAAUAAAGUAAAGCUGGAACACACACACACUGCACAGUCAACAGCCCAUCAACCGUACAGUACAUUCUGGGGCUCCUUGUGAUUACAGAUGUUUAAAUAACGAGACAGAAACUCAGGAUACGAAAUAAUCUUUAAUUCUUUCAUUAAGAACAUAAACUCUUAAACAUUAAUGAGGAAAUCUGAAUAAAAGAAAUAUAGGCCACCGUAUGAUCAACCACUGCUGAAGAGCUGGUAGAUUUUAAAACUUGUCUUGUGGCUGAAAAAUGAAAAUUAAGAAUUAAACUGUGAUUAAAUAUUCAACAAAGUAAUGCCAGUUGUAUUACAGAAUAUAAGGACUGUUUAUAGCAAGCAGCUCAUGUUACAUCAUCAAUAGUGAAGACUCUAAAUGUUGAUAAUGAAUAUAGAUGAUUUCCAUACAGGCCAUAAAUGUGAGGCUCUUGUAAUACCGUAUUUUAAAGUAAAUAUAUGUAAUUAAGAUCAACAUA